rnacentral:rRNA from 1 species
GACGAACGCUGGCGGCGUGCUUAACACAUGCAAGUCGAACGAAGUGGCGAACGGGUGAGUAACGCGUAAUCAACCUGCCCUUCAGAGGGGGACAACAGUUAGAAACGACUGCUAAUACCGCAUACUGAAGGAGGGCAUUGCGUUUGAUUAGCUAGUUGGAGGGGUAACGGCCUAACAGGGCGAGGAUCAGUAGGUGGGCUGAGAUGAUGAAUGGCCACAGUGGGACCGAGAAACGGCCCAGACCCCUAUGGGAGGCAGCAGUGGGGGAUCUUCCGCAAGGGACGAAAGUCGGACGGGGCAACGCCGCGGUAGUGAUGACGGCGUUGGGGUUGUACAGCUAUGUUAAUCGGGAAGCGGUACCGGAAUAGAAAGCCACGGCUAACUACGUGCCAGCAGGCGCGGUAAUAC